rnacentral:rRNA from 1 species
GACGUAGGGAGCGAGCGUUACCCGGAAUUAUUGGGCGUAAAGCGUCUGUAGGCGGACUGUUAAGUCUGGUGUAAAAUUUAGAGGCUCAACCUCUAAACCGUACCGGAAACUGGCAGACUAGAGAAAGGUAGAGGUUGGUAGAAUUAUCGUUGUAGGGGUAAAAUCCGUUGAUAACGAUAAGAAUACCAAAAGUGAAAACAGCCAACUGGACCUUUUCUGACGCUGAGAGACGAAAGCGUGGGAAGCAAACAGG